GGGUCUUAGCUCAGUGGAAGAGCAUUUGCCUUACAGGGCAGACAGUCUCAGGUUCAAUCCCUGACAUCUCCA